GGCAUCCGCCUCAUCUGCAGCAAAGACGGGAAAUGGAGCUUGACUCACACUGUGGAGUCUCACACUGGCUUUGAUUGGUAGGUGAGCAGCUUGGUCCGCCCCUCCUCCGUCACCCUGAAUUAAACAAUGAUUAAUGAUAAAGUGCUCUUUUGAAUUGC